rnacentral:rRNA from 1 species
AUGUCCUCUUCCCAGGCCGAUUCAACUCAUCCCUGCCUCCCACGCCCCCUGCGCCUCCGCCUCCGCCUCCACCUCCACCUUCAAUCGCCGCCCCCACUCUCUCUGACGUCUGACCUAGGCUGCAGAUCGAGCACGCCAUGUCCGCCACGCUCGCCAAGCUUCUUCGACCUGAAGCCGGGAGAGCCGGGUUGCCUCUCGCCCGACGACGCGGUUCCUCUCCGCAGAUGUGUUCGUCGCAGCAGGAGGAGAAGGGCCACUGGGACGUCUUCAUCCCCCCACGACCUCAUGUCCGGGCCUCCUGCUGACGGGUUCGUCGGAGGAGGAGAAAAGGACACCAAGAUCAAGAUGAGCCAACACCCAACACUGAAGCACAGGUACAUCAAAUCUGUCAUCCCCGUCAAAUCCUGGGAGUGGAGCGGGAGGUGUUGUUUGGUCACUCGUUCCAAAUUAGUCAGGCAUGCUGCAUCAAUUCCAGAUUUAGUCCCCUGUGAUUUUGUUAAAGCGCCAUUUGUUAGAGAUCAAUCCAUGCUUACGUUGUAA